rnacentral:rRNA from 1 species
GACGAACGCUGGCGGCGUGCUUAACACAUGCAAGUCGAACGGAAAGGCCCUGCUCUUGUGGGGUGCUCGAUUGGCGAACGGGUGAGUAACACGUGAGUAACCUGCCCUUGACUUUGGGAUAACUUCAGGAAACUGGGGCUAAUACCGGAUAGGAGCUCCUGCUGCAUGGUGGGGGUUGGAAAGAUUCGGCGGUUGGGGAUGGACUCGCGGCUUAUCAGCUGCUUGGUGUGGUAGUGGCUUACCAAGGCUUUGACGGGUAGCCGGCCUGAGAGGUGUGACGGCGACAAUGGGCCUGAGAUACGCCGCAGACGGCUAUGGGAGGCAGCAGUGGGGAAUAUUGCACAAUGGGGGGACGCGUGAUGCGGAAACGCCGCGUGCGGAAUGCCCGCCUUCGGGUUAUAAACCGCUUUGGACUGUGACGAAGCGUGCGUGACGGUACUGGGUAAAGAAGCACCGGCUAACUACGUG